rnacentral:pre_miRNA from 1 species
UUACUACUCCUUCCGUCCAACAAAAAAUGUCUUAAAUUUUUUAAAUUUGGUUGUAUCUAGUCAUGACUUAGUGUAUAAAUACAUUUAAAUUUAGUUAAAAUUGAGACAUACUUAGUUGGACGGAGGAAGCUUACG